CUGUACAUCCAAAGUUGAUACACUAAAAUUUGAACUAUACAGAGAAGAUUAGCGUGGCCCCUGCGCAAGGGUGACACGAAAAUUUCUGAAGCACCAUCAUCAUCA
rnacentral:snRNA from 1 species